AAACGAUGCAGACAAAGCGGUAUUGAAACCUAAAAAUAGAAUGGCAGGGCCAGAUUUAAAUCAGGUUCACCUCGCUGGACUCAAGGACUGUGCAGCUCCAGAGAUCGCUGCCGGGGUGAGGGCUCGGGGCUGCCCGGCACACAGCCACUGCCCGCCCCGCAGCCCGGGGUUGCUGCUCGUCCUGCGGUGCCGGAGCCAUGGAGUUGUGCCAUUUGGCAGCAUCUCCCUCCCUGCCAAGAGGGGUGCGUUGCUUUCCUUAGGGAUGGAGGUCAGGACCCCGCUCCGUUUUGCACCAGGAGCACCGAGGAGGGCUGGGCUCACGGUCUGAGGGAAGCCCUGCGAGAGCUGCCUUCCCCUCAGGCCUCCUCCUACAAAUCUUUCCACGCUGCAAACAGAAAUUUGCAAAUCUAGGCCAAGCAUUCCCUGCUCCUAUUUCACCACCCAUGCUGUCGGAGGACGGUUGUGCUGUGUGCUAUGGAGACGCAGCACCUCAGGAUAAACCUGGACCGCUCUGCUCCGUGCUCAUGCGGCCCAGUGGGGUCCUCUUCUAUACCUGGACCAUUACCCUGGGACUAAUUAAAAUAAUUAACAAGUGUAAUUAACUGUUGAGAGUUUUAGCACAUUAUAUCAGCAACAAUUAAAUAAAUUGCCCGUUUUGUCUUGCAAAGAAAAGACAGAGAGGGGAACAAGGAGGAGGGAGGUGGAGAGACUGAUGCUGUGGCACGGGGAAGUGAAUAGGGGUCGGUGGCUCUUGUGUUGGAAGACAAAGCAGACAAAGCUGUGCCCCAUGGAAUUACCGAGUGGCAGAUGCAGAUCGGCCACAUUUCCCGCAGCGUGUAAUUAAGCUGAGGAGCUCAUUGCCCAAAUGAAUCCCCAGAUCCGGGGGGCACGGAGUGCUGGGGGCCCUGUGUUGUCCCCAGGUCCCUGCUGCCUGCUCCUGCUGUGCAUUCGGUGCCACAACACCGCGGUGGCUGCUCCGCAGAGUUAGGGGACGCGUCCCAGCCAUGUUCCAGCACUGCUCAGCCUGGCUCCAGCCUCCAGCACGGAGCCUUGGGGUUCGCCUCUCCUCACCAUCAGUGACCCCGGGCUGCAUUUUGGGCAGCACAGGAGCCCAGCGGGAUAGAGCAGAACCCACGUGCAGGUGCCCCUCUGCCCAAGGGACAGGGACAGCGGCUGAGCCAAUCCUGAGGUGAGGGGAGCAAGUAGGUGCCCUGCUUUGCUUUGUGCACCUUGCUGAAAUGCGUGAGCCCAAAGGGAAAGAAACAGCAGAAAUCCAAGCAAAUAAGGAAGAGAUCCAAGCAAAUACGAGGCCCAUCACAGUCAGUGGAGGUCCCUCUGCAGGCUGAACACAGGGAGGGCUCCAUCCCCACCUAUUUCUGCUCCAAGCAUGCCAGCGCGACUCAGCUGCCUUUCCUGAUUGAAAUCUAACACCUUUUAUACGGUUCACGUCUCAUAACUCGGGGGGGGGGGGUUUAAAGAAAAAUUAAUUCCUUGGACUUUGGCACCAGCGGGCAGCGGUCGGGGCAGAAGCUGUUCUCCUGCCUUGCAGAGCCACGCUCCCCCCCAGCAUCUCCCGUCAGCAUCUUCCUUCAGCCCAUUUGUUUUAGGGGAACACAAAAGCUCUGCUUUCUGCCCGUUUUCCCCCCCGUGCCGCCCGGUGCCCCCACACAGCCCCAGUGCCCACGGCCUCCCGCUGCCAUCUGCAUGACAAAGCCCACUGCUCCGCGCCUUUUGGGGAUUGCCCGCACCACAAACCUUAUGGGCUUCAUCAAUAGCUCGGAUGAUUUUAGGGUCUAGGUUUUUAUUCACUACAGCGUUGGCUGACAAAGCCCAUUACAUCAUCUGUUUGGAAGAGAAAUUCUCUGCAGCUGCUUGUGUGGCACAGGGGGGUUUGCUGGAAAAAAUAAGGCAGAUUUUUUUUUUUCCGUUUGGUUUUGUUUCAUUCUUUCAGGGCAAUUUUCCUUCAAAUUGCUGGAAAACUGCACGUUAAAAAGGCUUCCAAAGUGGAAAGGAAAAGGGCAGAGCGCAGCAGCUUUAAGCAUUCUUUUUUUUUUUUGCUUUUUUUCAUUUCCCUUCCAAAAAGCCGGGGGGAGGGCAGCCCCCGCUCAGGGCCGUGUGUGGGGCUGGGGUGUGGGGACAGCGGGGUGCCCCGUCCUGUCCCAUUGCUGCUGGGAAGUCCUCCUGGCUCAGCACCGGUGUGAGCAGAGGAAUCCCUCCUGAGCUCAAAAGAGGCUGAAGUUGUAGCUUGGGUUGCUGUUGGAAUGGCUGCUAAGCUCGAAAGAAAGGUUUAUAAUUCAUAGGGUAACACAGCGCACGGCGCUAUGGAAAACAGCUCUUCACUCACUGCAAUUAAGAGUGAGAAAACCCCAUAACUGCAGAUAAAAAUCCGUUAUUAUAGAUGAGUGUGACAGACCACUGCGUUUCCCCAUCAGGUGAGCAGCACGGAUGGGCCGAGCCUCGUUAGCACAGGGCUUUCACAAGUGGGUUCUGAGACAUUUAAACUGUAUCCAGGAAAAGAUGGGUCCUAAAUGCACCGCAGGUGUCACUGCCGAAUGUGUCCUUGGGGGUAAUCCGGAUGUGCUGAGGAGCACGGAGGCGCAGCGCUGACACAGCACGGUGGGGGUGGGCUGGAGGUCCCAACCUGAAUGAGUGGAUGGCUGAGCGAUGGGAAUGCUGCCGGGUUGUGGCAGCCUCGGCAAUGGGGAGAAGGUGUGGGGGACGGGGGGUGAUCCGGGUCUGGGAGUUUCUUUUAGCAGCAGAGAUUGGCUCACGUUCAGUUCAUGUUUUAUCUCGGAUAGGAAUUGAUUUUUUUUUAAUAGGUCGAGAGUUCAGGAAAGCUAAAAUAAUAAUAAUAAUAAUAAUAAUAAUAAUAAUAAUAAUAAUAAACCAGGAUCUGUCUUUUUCUGCUCCCUGAAUACAUAGGGCUGCUUUCCGGCACACAUUUCAUUUUCAGGUGAGUUCCUUUGUUGCCAUAGCAAUAUUACUCGUGUUUGGAAAGCCGCAGCUUUGGUUUUCUCCCAGGCCAUGCUGUCACACGCAGGCAGCACCCCGAGCCCAGCACAGAGCCGCACUGAGCUGCGCCGCAGCACGGAGGCAGAGGGGAGGGCCAUGGGGGAGCGCAGGGCUCCCACCCAAAGAUGCUCCUCUCUUCUCACCCUUCCACCCACACCUCACAGCGUGGCUUUGCAGUCAGGUCAAAGGAAACCCGGUGGCUUUGCUAAUUAGCACUUAUUAACGACGCUUCUCUGGCUGUGCCCGCAGCUCUCCCUCCAGGCACUGGCGCACAUGCAGCAACAAAACCCGUGUGCGCCCCAGAGAGCUCAGAAUCCCGUAAAUCCCAUUUGCUGCCACACAGGUGUCUCAUUUCCUUGCUCCGCAGAUCCCGGGCCCAGUGAAUUUAUUUUAUUACUCUGCUGAAGUAAAGGCUUUAAAUACUGCGGGACGUGCAUGACGGGGGUCUGUAACAGCAUUAAGAAAGGCACGAGGAAAAGGGAUUCCCCCGUAAGGGAACGGUUCUGUGGUCAUUUGGGUAAUAUGUAUUCUGUACAUGUGCCAGGAAUUAAGAUUUGAUUUUAAGUAUUUAUAUAUUAAAUAUUUAAUCUAGUCACAUCUAGUCAUUUGAUCCAGGAAGGUGGGAUCGCUGGGCUGACAUUGACAGGAUGAGCUUCAACACGACCAAGCGCCGGGUCCUGCAGUUAGGCCGAGCAGCUGGAAGGCUGUGUGGGAGAAAUGGACCUGGAGGUGCCGGCCAGAGCUCAGCUGAACAUCAGCCAGCAGUGUGUCCAGGUGGCCAAGAAGGCCAAUGGCAUCCUGGCUUGUAUCAGAAAUGGUGCAGCCAGCAGGAGCAGGGAAGUGAUCAUCCCGUUGUGCUCAGGACUGCUGAGGUGGCACCUUGAGUGCUGUGUUCAGUUUUGGGUCCCUCACUACAAGAAAGACAUCAACGCGCUGGAGUGUGUCCAGAGAAGGGCAGUGGAACUGUGAAGGGUGUGGAGCACAGAUCUUAUGGGAACUGAAGGAACUGGGAUUGUUCUGUGUGGAGGAGGCUCAGGGGAGACCUUACUGAUCACUACAGCUGCCUGACAGGAGGUUGUGGAGGGUGCAGGUUGGCCCCUUCUCCCCAGUAGCAGUGACAGCACAAUAGGUACCAGCCUUAAGUUGCGCCAGGGGAGGUUCAGGUGGGAAAUUAGGACAAAUUUCUUCACCAAAAGAGUGGCGAGGCACUGCAAUGGGCUGCCCAGGGGUGGGGUGGAGUCACCAUCCCUGGAGGUGUUCAAGAACCAUUUAGAUGUUGUACUCAGGGACAUGGUUUAGUGGGGAAAUACAGGUGGUCAGUGGACAGUUGGACUAGAUGAUCUUGGAGGUCUUUUCCAACCUUGGUGAUUCUAUGAUUCACACCAUUAAGUUAUUAAAAUACUUAAUGUUAAAUUCAAUUUUUUUCUGUACUUCUUUUAAUUAAAGCAGGCACAGAGGGCCACGCAUUAACCUAAAACCCACUCCGUGAUGCCACAUCAUAGCUAUGGCUGCGUGCUGGGAGGCUGUUCUGCUGCACCACCAUAAGCUGUUCACGUAGAUCACGUUUAAAGGCUGUUUUUGCUUGCUUUGUUUGUUUGUUUGCUUUUGUUUUUUAAUUCUGAAUAAGCCCCGUUCGGAUUAACAAGCAGAGGCUGCGUGCACACAGCAGACCCGUGGGUGCUGCAAGCCUUGCUGCGAUGCAGGCAGCAGAUGACAGCUGCAGGGCUGUGCGGCUACGGGGCUGCGGGGAUGAUGCAGGCAGAGCAGCGGGCAGCAGUGCUGGGGGCACACAGCCCUGUGACGUUGCCUUUCUGUGGGGGAAUGCCACCGGAGCAGCCAUUCCGGCAGCAUUAGGGCUGUGGUGGCUCCCAGGAUUACCCACGCACAGCCCUCCCAUCCCCGGCAGAAUCGCUGUGCCCAAACACAAUAGGAGCCUGGAAGAAAGCAACGGCCUCGACAAUGAGUUUCUCUGCUUUUAUAGGUUUUAGUGGAGCCCAUUGUGCUGUUUUAACACCCUUUUUUGUAUUUCGAUUCCUAAUAUCUUUGACUGGGGGAAGGGUGGAGAGGGCACCGAUUUAAUUCGAUAAUCCCCCUAAGCCUUGCUUAAUGCACUCACUCUAUUUUGUGCCUGUGAAUUUUAUAGUGGUAUUUGGGGUGGUUGCAGCACUGCACUGGAAUACGUCCCACCAUUUAUUUUGCAGCCAUUGGAGGGAAAUGGCUCGCAGUGCUGAGCAGCCUAUUCACUGCGCUCACAUUGUCAAACCCAACAAACCGUCAGCCCAGAUGUGGUCGGAUCCCGGGGCUGCAGCAGGGAUGUGGGGAAGGGAGUUCAGAGUCCGCUGCAAAUUGCUCAAAUGAAUAUCUAACCACGAGCAGAAGGCUUCCUCCCUCUGCCAAAAUUCUGAGCUGGAUUUGGGUUGUGAGAACAGCUCAAGGCUCCUUCUGAAGGGUACCAAGACAGACAAGUCUUUGGGCUCCCAAAACUUCAUGGCUGUGCCAUGAGCAAUUUGCUCCUAGCAGGAACAUGAGGUGGUGCUGAGCCAUCCUGGGAGCAUCUCAGAAGGCUACAGCAGAGACAAAAAGUGCCAACGUAAGGGUCAGAAUGUCUGGGGCAGCUGGCAUGCAGCAGCAACAAAGCUAAGAUGAGAAGAAGGGGUUUGGAAGAGGUCAGGAUCAGAAAGACGGUGUCUGUAGGGAACCGGGUCAUCCAAAGAGGAGAAAAGAACAAAGGAAGAAAAAAUAUUAAGAGGCUGAGAUCUACCACAUUGACAGAGAAGACAGGAAGGUGUCCACAGACAUCUCAGAGAGAGGAGGAGACCUCAGCAGGAACAUGGCAGGGCUCCUGUAGUUUAGCAAACUGCCCAAGAAUGUGCAGAAUAAAAAGCUGCUUUUCCUUUUUUCACCUAUAGCCUGUGCAACUGCCUUCCUCAUUUCUUACAGCCCAGCAGUAAGGAUGUAAUGCCUCAUGAAAAUAAAUAUGGAUGGCUGGAAUUGUGUCUGUAAGGCUCCCAUUUGCCUUUCACAGCCUCAGCCCACAUCUUUCAGCCUUCCAUGCAAUUUCUCAUCAAACACCAGGACAGUACUCAGCCGCACAGAGCUCAUGGAUCUCAUAAACUCUACAGAAAAGCUUUCUUUAUUGGCAUAAAAGACACAACAGGAUAAGUAUUUGGAGGUGUUGAAAAACACUUCACCAGACAUUAAAUUAUAUUAUUUAUUCUAUCAAGAAAAGCUCUAAGGGACAUCCCAAAAAUGUGAGCCGUCUUCCAAUGGAGAUAAGAAAGAGAACACACGUACCAGCAAGCUGUUUCUAAAGCUCUGAUCAGCUGAGGCAAGAAAAAAAAGAAGUUGAUGGUGGGAGAUUGUGCAAAUUGAACUCCUGAGGAUAUUAAAAAAAAAAGAGUAUUUCCAAAGAUAAGAAGCUGGAAGGCUAUAAAAGAAUGUAUCCAUCCACUAAAUGAUGGGAGUUCAAGAGCUAAAUGAAACAGUUGCCCAGGGAGGUGGUGGAGUCACCAUCCACGGAGGUGUUCUACAACUGUAGGGAUGUAGCACUGAGGGAAAUGGUUAUGGGCAUGGUGGAGGUGGGAUGGGGUUGGUUGGACUCGGGGAUCUUAGUGGUCCUUUCCAACCUUAAUGGUUCUAUGAUUCUACAAUUCGAUGUGGAUCACUGUUUCCUACAGAGGAAUGGAUGGAGGUUUCCAAAUCAAAGCCCUUCUUCAAGAGGGAUGAGAUUGAGAAAUUUUCUCACAAUGAAGAUCAGCAGAGAAGACUUUAAGCUGAAUAAAUAAAAUUAAUGGCAACCAAAUUCCAGUAUGGGAUGGCAUUGACCAAAAGUCCUAGAGAAGGGCUCAGGCAUGAAUUACCCGAUUGCCUGACUGGUUUCAAGCUCAUUGGCCAGAGCAGGCCUGAUACUGAAGGAAUGGAACAAAAAAAUGGAACUAAACAAAGAUAAUGCAAAAUAAUGGCAAUGGAAGCUACAGAUAAGUAGAAAUGGGCUCUGAGCUAUGACAAUUUAAUGAGGAGAUGCUGGCUUCAUUAUGCUGAUCGCUCUGUAGUGCCUCACACGAUGCUCAGAGAUAGUCAAAGGCAAACAGGAGGGAAUGGGGAACAAAUAAAAACAAGUGUUGUGAUGCCAGUGGACAAUCAGCAGUUUCAGUCCUCCCAUCUCAAAAUGGGCACAGCAGUGUGAAAAAAGGUGGAGGACAACAGAAGGGAGUUGGGCUUGGAGCUGCCCUGUGUGUGAGUAGGGUUGGGCUUUGCUGUUUGGAGGGGACACCCAAAAGGGGAUGUGGUGCAGGCCCCCAACCAGCAGCUUUAGAAACUCUUACUGCUGUGGGCAAACUUAUUCAAGGCAGUUUUCUAAUUCAUCACCUUGUGUGCUAAUUUAUAUUUAAUUUUUAUUUCUAUAAAACUGUACUCAAAGGGUGUUAAUGAGCUUAUUAAUAAUGUUUACACGUUAUGGAUAUUGAUAAAUAUAUUCAGAAAAUUAAUGGAUAUUUUUAAUUAAAUAAAACCAGCACUUUAAAAAACUCUUAGCAACUUGGUGGGGUCCCUCACAAAAAUACCCAUUACUUCUGUAAAACCAAAUUAAAAUGCAAUAAUUCUGACAACCUAGAAGAGAAAGGAUAGAGGGGUCUAAGCGACACGCUUGGUGGAUGGAGUGACAGCAGCAUUUGCAUUCCCAGCUCUGCGGGGACAGACAUGAUGAAUUCUGAGCCACGCAGGCAGACACAGUGUGCCCAGACUGACUGCAAAGCUAUGGGCACCCCAGCAGGAAAAGCUGAAGAUGCAGGAUCAGGCCCUGCAAAUUAAACAGACAAACAAACAAAAACCCACAGUCCAUAACAGGGUUCAGCAAGAUGUGAAGUUGUUGAAUUAUCUCAGCCGGGAAACGUCAGGUAGCAUUUCUGAGGAGAGCCCUUUGUGCACAUCGUCCCCGGAGCGAGCAGAGCAGGAGCCAUUUGCAUGAGCACUGCGCUGAGCAGCUGCAGAACGCUGGGCGCAGAGGGCUCGCACCAACCCACGCUCCUGGCGAGGCAGGAUCCCAUCCAGAGCUACAGAUGUGGGCACUGCCACUGCAACAGCACCAAUGAGGAGAGCUGCCUCGUCACUUGCAGCUAUAGACAGGUGGCAUCUUGUGUGCUAGCAAAUGGAUCUGCAGCUUCACCAGAGGAAGAGACACCACAUUUACAUGACACGGAACAAAUCUCUGAACUCAGACGAACUAUUUUAAGAUGGAAUUUAGAAACAAAGGAGAGUGUUGCCCUGACCGUUUCCCAACAGCCUUUCCUGUGGGAUAGAGCUACACGGAACUCUCGGUUAUGGAGCACCACCCAGAGGGCAGAGCGGAGGGAUGCAGAAGUGAGAUGAUCGGGUACGUAAAAAUAGCAGAGAUCCUACAGCAGAUCUUACAUAACCACCAGCAGGUACCGGAUUGUUAUUUAACAGAUGUCGUCAAGAGAAAAAACUGUGAAAAGGAGAUUGCUUUGUCAAGAGAGGAUGUUUAUGGGCACACAGGACCUCUGCACGCAAGCAAAUGUGUCUGUUUUGUUAAUGAUUUAGCACCUCUUAUUUACUCAAACAAACUACAAUGCCAAAAUUUCAUUUUGAGGUUACUGCAUUUUGAUACCACCUUAAAGUAAGCUUUGGCUUUUCAAUACCUGUAUUUGGUUUCAGCUGUAUAGUACAAAGCACCAGUUCUGAAACUGCUUCUAAAUAGCACUUAUUUUUGUAUCAGUUACAGAAAAACUUGGAUUUCAUUUCAGGAACAAUGAGUGUCCUUGUGUCUCACCUGGAUGCACAAGGAAAGGCCCGAGAUUAGCAGAAAGCAUAUAAAAAAAAUGGAUGAUAGUUAGUCAAAAAUGUAAAAAAAAUGCUUAACCUCCUGUAGUCUAAAUCCAAAGGGAUUCGGACACAUGCAUUCCCAUAUACAUUUACUGGAGAGGAAAGGUACAGUCCGAGUACCACCCAGCACACCCACAUGGUUCUAACCUCAACUUUCUGAUUUGCAGCUGUGCUGUAUUACUGUCUCCCCAGGCAUGUCCUGACACUAUGCUAAAGCUAGAGAACAGACAGCAGAAUUUGACUCAUCCAGAAUAUAUAGUAAUAAAUACAGUAAGAGAGACACUCAUUUGGUGUUACAAGCCGAAUAAGGAGAAGAUAAUUGAUUUUAGCAGUGAAAUUAAAGAGAGGUAAAUCCUGUUUACUUGCAUGUCCUCUCAACUACAGCAUUACAGUGAGAGGUGACAGACAAAAGCUGGAACAUGGGAAGUCCAGAUAAGGAAACGAUUUUGGACUACAAGGAUGGUCAGACUGGAAGGGGUUGGGUUGCCCAGAGAGGUUGCCCAACCUUCUUUCCUUCAAGGUGUUCAGACUUGUUUGGUCAAACACAAUAUUUUAGGCCUGCUCUGUGCAGGACGGGGAUUGGGUGACCUCUGGAGGUCUCCCCCAAGAAAAGCAAAACCCUCUCUUUUUUGAGAGGUUUUUGCAAUAUCAAAUGGGCAGAAGCAAUGGGCGGUUGAGUCAAGAGUUGCCAAAGCCAAGCUUUUCAGAGGGUUAAAUGCACUAGGUUAAUCAGACUUAUUUAAUAUUAAGAGUGGUUUUGGUAAGUUAAUUGUACAACGGCACAAGUAUGAGGCAUUUUUUUCUGAGAUUUUUUCCCUGCAGGUUCUCACUUGGAGUAAGAUGCACAUACAGAGAUGCUAUGCUGCAGAACCAGGGUGCUUAUUAGCACCAAGCAAUAUCAGUAAGAGGGUAGAAAGGCAGAACUGAGUCUGUGAAAGUAUGAAAAAUGCACAUGCGUGCAGGAAAUCAAAAUCUCCUGGACCAGCUUCACCUAUGACCCAUAUGUGGAACCUCAACAAGAUCUCUUCCACCACGAUAUUUGUCACAAUUUCCCCCCCUACAUGUUCAGCACUCGUUACCCACCCUUUCAGGCCUUUUACAGAUCUGAAUGCUUUGUGAUAAUCUGCGCUCUGUCUGGGAAGGGCACAUGAGGGAGAGGGAGGUGAUCCUGCAGCAUUUGACAAGUUUGGCCACAGCAGAAUGAGAUUGAUUUUAUUCUAUGGGACAAUGUGUAGAUUAAAGUUUCAUCUAAAGAUUUCCACUC